AAACUCAAAGGAAUUGACGGGGCCCGCACAAGCGCGGAGCAUGCGGAUUAAUUCGAUGCAACGCGAAGAACCUUACCAAGGCUUGACAUACACCGGUAACGCCAGAGAUGGGUGCCCCUUUGUGGUCGGUGUACAGGUGGUGCAUGGUUGUCGUCAGCUCGUGUCGUGAGAUGUUGGGUUAAGUCCCGCAACGAGCGCAACCCUCGUCCUAUGUUGCCAGCGGGUCAUGCCGGGGACUCAUGGGAGACUGCCGGGGUCAACUCGGAGGAAGGUGGGGAUGACGUCAAGUCCUCAUGGCCCUUAUAGGUGGGGCUACACACGUCAUACAAUGGCUGGUACAAAGGGUUGCCAACCCGCGAGGGGGAGCCAAUCCCAUAAAGCCAGUCGUAGUCCGGAUCGCAGUCUGCAACUCGACUGCGUGAAGUCGGAAUCGCUAGUAAUCGUGGAUCAGCAUGUCACGGUGAAUACGUUCCCGGGUCUU
rnacentral:rRNA from 1 species